UGCCUGCCUGCCUUCCAGUGUUCCUGAGAAGAGCUGAUAGCACAGGCUCAGCAGGCUGAGGUCAACUGCUGGCAGCCAGGAGACAGAGAUGCAAGAGAUUGCCAAAGAUCCUAAGCCUGCACUAAACAGCACGGAUGAUUGGUGAUUUUGGAGACAAAACUCUGUUGGGAGUGACCAUGUCAGUGUUCUGCUGUUGUGAUUCAUCUUUAAAAUCUUCUCCACGGAGUGUGAAGGACAUCCCCUCAAUUAAUGGGUUUGGUGAUUUGCUUAAGUCAACACUGCUGUGUUCAGCAGGUUUGUGCUGAAGAAAAAGUCUGCUGGAUUUCAAGAUAGUGCCAUUAAAGCCAGGUGCAUUUGUGGCAGGCUGGAAUGACAGAAGUCCAGCAUCUUUACCCCUAAGUCAGCCUGGGGUACAGCACUGAGGCUGGUAGAAGAGAACUGGCUUGGGUGGCAUUUGGGAGCUCUGAACUGAGCACAGCAGAUCCAGCAUGACUGAAGUCUCCAAUCCCCACUGCAAGGUAAACUGCUGUAAAGUAGCAAAAAUCGUUAUUUUCAGUGCAGAAAUCCUCUGUCUAAUAUCUGAGGAUUCCUUCAGUUCUGU